UCGAUUCCAUCAACCAUAAGGAUCAUUUGGCGCUCCGGAAGUAAUCGUACCAAGAUGGCGCACAAUCUGAACAACCCCACUCUGAUACACAUACUAUCUUCAGGCUGGGCGCUAUCUUGGUACGAAUACUUCGAGAGCAUCGAUUAUUUUUGCUGAAAGUAAAGCGUUAAUUAAAAGAAAGGAAGUCUCUUUUAAGUUUUAAUCCACUUACAGGAAUAAAGGGCGAAGAGAGAAGCACAAGAGAGAUUCUCGAACGGCAAUGUGACGGUUGAUCGUUAUGAGAUGAAAAAGUGGUUCAUUUUUCUCAGUUUUCAUGACGAGUUCAGACAUUUACCAGUAAUGGGAAGGAUAGAGUCGUCGACUCGACUCGAAUAGUUACUGUCACGUAAAUGGGCGAAGUAGUCUUUUAAACUACUGAUGUGUCGAGAAAACGAGAUGGAUACAAGAUAGAAGGAAUAGCAACCACUAAAUCACUGAAACUUGUCAUCGACGGAGUUGCAUUUUCACAUCAAGUAAACAAGAAUGGUCAAAGAAGAAUUAUGACAACUAAAGAACAAUCGCUUGUUUCGGACGGACCCGCAAUUGUAAUAUGGAUGUGCGAACAACAAAAAAUGAAUUACAAGAUCGAUGUAAUGUAUAAUGGCUGCUAAUAACUGAAUUACUUGGUUUCUGAAUUCAUAAACAAAAAUCAGUAAAGAAUAGUCUGACGUUCAGAACAAAGACAUUCGGGAGUAUUAUCAAAAGUACACGAAUAUGAUGACGAGAGAAAUGUUUCUUCGAAUACAAAUUGUAUGCAGUGUUUUCAUAUCCACCUUCUCCGUAAAAACACAUUUCUAUAUUAUUAAUACUGUGAAUCGACGGUUUCGUCUGUUGCAAUGCAAUUUAUUAAUGAAAGCUCAAUUUAAGAUAUAUGCUUAUGCAUUUUCAAUAAUCAUAACUCCUUUUUGCAUCUGUCGAAACGACCCAUAUGAGCUACAAGUGCCGAAAUUUUUACUUCUUUCCUCUUUCCUCCGGAGAAUUUGUUCAAAGCAAGGUGACCACUCUGAACCAGUAAACCCCAAUUUAUGCGAGUUUGGAAGUCUAUUUGAUGAUCAAUGAAAUUACCGAAAAAAAAACGUUCCGGCAUAUAAAUUUAACAAAUAUUCGUAAAUAAAUAUUUGGAAAACAGCCGACCAAUUUUCAUUGUUGUUGGGAGAAUGCACUUAAUUAAAUUUAACAACAUCGAGUAAUUUUAACCAAAUUUCUUGCAUCUGAAUUAGUAAAAUACGGCUGAGAUAACUCUAUCUCAACAACUCAACGAAUUCAUGCAUGGCAAGUUUUCGAAUUGCGAUGAAAGUUUCCAAAUUUUAACUAAUUUAUAAAGUUGAACCAUAAUACUUGAUCCAAAUGCUCCUCUCUGUCAUUUAGGCUAAGAAGCCUAAUUACGUUAUUAACCGCUCUGCAAUGUACAUAUUUAGUAAUACAGGAUAUAUACGUGUAUUACGUAUAUAUGGUUUGCUUUUGUUAUUAUUAUAUCUUUUUUUGCCAGAUAUCUUAAAAUGUUUUCCUGGUGACCUUGAACUUGGUAUUUAUUUGUGUUUUAUUUCAUUUAAAUCUUGAAGCAAUAAAAAUUUCUCGGAUUCUGGACAUUUAAGAGUUUUGUUAAAUAGGCAGGGAAAGUUUGACAGGCAGGAACUACAACUCGGAAGGCUACAGGGCUCGUUGUGCUGGAGCGGGAUAGGGCCGGUCGGACAGCCGGGAUGCCUGGGCGCGGCGGCAGGGGC